GAGCAGGGUGGGCUGGGUGCUGGAGCGAGUAGGACGUUAACAGCCAAUAGUUUGCACCUGUCCGUCAACUCGCACCACCCACUCAGCGCCGCUCGGGCCAGCGCGGGCGGCCGCUUCGCUGGUACCGCGUUCCUCCGAGGGUCGGGCACCAUGUGGGGGGCGGGCAGCGGAGUGGGGAAGGGGGAAUAAAACCAACCCGAGAGGCCCCGGCCCCGGAGGGGAAUGCAGGAGGGGCGCCUGCACCCUGACCGCGCGCGGCCAGUAGGGGAGGAACCCUGAUCCCAGACCAAAAGCCCGACCUGCCAGGGAGGGGCCGCCAGGGUGUUAGAGAGAGUUCCGGGGUCCGAGACGGCCGGGUUGGGGGAGAGGUUCUGCCCCGGGCCGCUGGGUACCCUUCGGGCCAGCGCCCGUGUCCCGCGUCAUAGUUCGGGGCUGCUCCCUCUCCCGGGAGCGCCGCCCUUGCAGGCUGUGCAGCCUGUUCUAGGCCGUGGGAGAGCACUAAAGAAGACUUUCAAGCCACUCCUCGAAGAGCUUCUGAUCCGUGGGGGAGAUGAAAUCUGCCUUCCUUAUUUACAUGACCCUGGAUGUCUGCCAUUUUGAAGAAUUCCAGAGAAGACGCCACUGCAGACCAAUGGUUCUCAAAGUCUGAGCUACAGACAGCAUCAUCAUCCCCUGGGAAAUUGUUAGAAGUCAAAUUAUUGGGCCUCAUCCCAGAUUAAUUGAAUCAGAAACUCAGUCCCAGAGGAGCCUAUUAAAAGAUGACAGCACACAUGGAGGAGAGUCCAGGUGUCCCAGCUGAGGCCAUUCAGACCAGCGUAGGAGUCAACUCCUAGACAUGUGAGAGAGCUCAGCCAAAAUCAGGAGAGCUGCCUACAACACCCACAGCUGAUGCACGAGUAAGGCCAGCCAAGAGUAGAAAAACUACCCAGCUGACCCAUAUACCUACGAGCAAUAAUAAAUGCUUACUGUUUUAAGCCACUGAGUUUUGGGUGGUUUGUAACGCAGCAGUGUGGGAAUUGAUACACCCUACCCAAUGUGUAGAACAUGCACUAUUCUACUCCCUACUUAAAGAACCUUUACAAUGAUGACACUUUAAUGAGGUUAAGACAUCAUGAUAUCUGUGAGGUGAUAACAUUUGCUUAAUAAAGAUCAUUUUAAAGAUUGCCAAGCAAUUUAUAUACACCAUUGCUAAUUCUUACAACAACCCAGAAAAUGUGGAUAUAAUUAUCAAUUCCACUUUACAGAUGAAGAAAUUGAGAGUAAUAUAGGUUGAAUAAUUCACUCAAUGUCACACACUAGGUGGUGGAGUUGACAUUGGAACCCAUGUCCUUUCAGUGCCGAAGACUUUAUCUUUCCUUUCUGCCAUACUGUGGGAACUGGAAGGACUAUACAUACUUUCCAGCCCAAAACUCUUAUUUUUGAGGUAAAGAAACCAAAGAAGUGCAAUAACUUGGCUAAAGUGAUUCACAAUAUAAAGUUUUCAAUCUCUAUAAUUCCAAAUACUCACCUCUGAU
rnacentral:lncRNA from 1 species